UACGAGAGGAGCGAGCAUUAUUCGGAAUAAUUUGGCGUAAAGGGUUUGUAGGUUGUUUUUUAAGUUGAAAAAUAAAUAAUAAAGCUUAACUUUAUUUCUUUUUUCAAUACUAAAAAACUAGAGUAAAAAUAGAGGAUAAUGGAAUUUCUAUUGUAGGGAUAAAAUCUGUUGAUAAUAGAAGGAAGAUCAAAGACGAAAGUAAUUAUCUGGGUAUUUACUGACACUGAGAAACGAAAGCUUGGGUAUCGAACGGG
rnacentral:rRNA from 1 species